rnacentral:precursor_RNA from 8 species
GCGUUGAGAUUUGUUUUGCGGAUGGUGUGACUUGGCACUGGCGGAAUUAUCACCAGUGACGCAAGAAUCGUGAUGUUCCCCUGGUGCCUCAUCUCACCAUCCUCCCUGUCUUCCUUCAUCUUC